AGUGAACGCGGGCGGCGUGCCUAAUACAUGCAAGUAGAACGGAGUGGCGGACGGGUGAGUCAUGUAUACCUAAUCUGCCCUCACCUAGAGGCCAACAGUUGGAAAGGCCCGCUAAUACUUUAAAGUGUAGGAGGAGGUUAUUUUGUAUCAGCUAGCUGGUGAGGUAAUGGCUCACCAAGGCUAUAACGCAUAACUGGUCUGGAAGGAUGAUCAGUCACAUCGUAACUGAGACACGGUCCGGACUCCUACCGGAGGCAGCAGUAGCGAGUAUUGCGCAAUGGUGGAAACCCUGAGGCAGCAACGCCGCGUGGAGGAUGACACUUUUCGGAGCGUAAACUCCUUUUGUUAGGGAAGCGGUACCUAACGAAUCGGCACCGGCUAACGCCGUGCCAACAGCCGCGGUAAUUC
rnacentral:rRNA from 1 species